GACGAACGCUGGCGGCGUGCUUAACACAUGCAAGUCGACGGUAAGGCCCUUCGGGGUACCCGAGUGGCGAACGGGUGAGUCACGCGUGAGUAACCUGCCCUUCACUCUGGGAUAACAGUUGGAAACGGCUGCUAAUACCGGAUAUUCAGCUCCUGUCGCAUGGUGGGGGUUUGAAAGUUUUGGUGGUGGAGGAUGGGCUCGCGUCCUAUCAGCUUGUUGGUGGGGUGAUGGCCGACCAAGGCGUCGACGGGUAGCCGGCCUGAGAGGGCGAUCGGCCACAGUGGGACUGAGAUACGGCCCAAACUCCUACGGGAGGCAGCAGUGGGGAAUAUUGCACAAUGGGCGGAAGCCUGAUGCAGCAACGCCGCGUGCGGGAUGACGGCCUUCGGGUUGUAAACCGCUUUCAGCAGGGACGAAGCGGAAGUGACGGUACCUGCAGAAGAAGCACCGGCUAACUACGUG
rnacentral:rRNA from 1 species